GACAGAGGAUGCAAGCGUUAUCCGGAAUGAUUGGGCGUAAAGCGUCUGUAGGUGGCUUUUCAAGUCCGCCGUCAAAUCCCAGGGCUCAACUCUGGACAGGCGGUGGAAACUACCAAGCUGGAGUACGGUAGGGGCAGAGGGAAUUUCCGGUGGAGCGGUGAAAUGCGUAGAGAUCGGAAAGAACACCAACGGGCGAAAGCACUCUGCUGGGCCGACACUGACACUGGAGAGACGAAAGCUAGGGGAGCGAAUGGG
rnacentral:rRNA from 1 species